rnacentral:rRNA from 1 species
GAUGUACGCUGGCGGCGUGCCUAAUACAUGCAAGUCGAGCGAACAGACGAGGAGCUUGCUCCUCUGACGUUAGCGGCGGACGGGUGAGUAACACGUGGAUAACCUACCUAUAAGACUGGGAUAACUUCGGGAAACCGGAGCUAAUACCGGAUAAUAUAUUGAACCGCAUGGUUCAAUAGUGAAAGACGGUUUUGCUGUCACUUAUAGAUGGAUCCGCGCCGCAUUAGCUAGUUGGUAAGGUAACGGCUUACCAAGGCAAUGAUGCGUAGCCGACCUGAGAGGGUGAUCGGCCACACUGGAACUGAGACACGGUCCAGACUCCUACGGGAGGCAGCAGUAGGGAAUCUUCCGCAAUGGGCGAAAGCCUGACGGAGCAACGCCGCGUGAGUGAUGAAGGUCUUCGGAUCGUAAAACUCUGUUAUUAGGGAAGAACAAAUGUGUAAGUAACUAUGCACGUCUUGACGGUACCUAAUCAGAAAGCCACGGCUAACUACGUG